rnacentral:rRNA from 1 species
GACGAACGCUGGCGGCGUGCCUAAUACAUGCAAGUUGAGCGAUGAAGAUUGGUGCUUGCACCAAUUUGAAGAGCAGCGAACGGGUGAGUAACGCGUGGGGAAGCUUCCUUUGAGCGGGGGACAACAUUUGGAAACGAAUGCUAAUACCGCAUAACAACUUUAAACAUAAGAUUUAAGUUUGAAAGAUGCAAUGGCAUCACUCAAAGAUGAUCCCGCGUUGUAUUAGCUAGCUGGUGAGGUAAAGGCUCACCAAGGCGAUGAUACAUAGCCGACCUGAGAGGGAGAUCCGCCACCUUGGGACUGAGACACGGCCCAAACUCCUACGGGAGGCCGCAGUAGGGGAUCUUCGGCAAUGGACGAAAGUCUGACCGCGCAACGACGCGUGAGUGAAGGAGGUUUUCGGAUCGUAAAACUCUGUUGGUAGAGAAGGACGUUGGUGAGAGUGGAAAGCUCAUCAAGUGACGGUACCUACACAGAAAGGGACGGCUAACUUCGUG